rnacentral:rRNA from 1 species
GACGUAGGGCGCGAGCGUUGUCCGGAUUUAUUGGGCGUAAAGAGCUUGUAGGCGGUUUGUCGCGUCUGCUGUGAAAACCCCGAGGCUCAACCUCGGGCCUGCAGUGGGUACGGGCAGACUAGAGUGCGGUAGGGGAGAUUGGAAUUCCUGGUGUAGCGGUGGAAUGCGCAGAUAUCAGGAGGAACACCAAUGGCGAAGGCAGCUCGCUGGGACGGUACUGACGCUGAGACGCGAAAGCGUGGGGAGCAAACAGG